rnacentral:rRNA from 1 species
CUAGCCCUGAAAAUGGAUGGCGCUCAAGCGUCCUCCCGAUACUCGACCGCCGGGGCCGUACUGGCCUGCCAGGGUCUCGAAGCCCCGGCGAGUAGGAAGGUCGCGGGGGUGUGCGUAGAAGGGAUCCGGCGUGAGCCGGCCUGGAGCCUCCCCUGGUGCAGAUCUUGGUGGUAGUAGCAAAUACUCGAGUGAGACUCUUGAGGACUGAAGUGGAGAAGGGUUCCAUGUGAACAUCAGUUGUACAUGGGUCAGCCGGUCCUAAUCCCUCGGCGAAAGCCUCCCCAGUGAUAUGGCGCGACCAAAUCCAAACAAACAACAGGGCGCCCUGGGGCUUAGGGAGAAAGGGAAUCCGGUACUUAUUCCGGAGCCCCGGCCGGUAGCUGAUGGAGCCCCCCGUGGUUUACAUUCCCGGUAACGGGAAAGAACCCGUGCCCGCUGGCGGCGGUCCGGGGAAGAGUUUUCUUCUCUGUUUAAGGCACCGUGGCCCUGGAAGCUACUCGCAAGGCGAUAGGGUCGUGGGACCGUAGAACGUCGCGGUUCUUGCGACGUCCCGAGUGCCGUCGCCGGCCCUUGAAAACACGGGAGAGGGGUGGCAAGUCCUGAACUACCGGUCCGUCCGUACCCAUAUCCGCAUCUGGUCUCCAAGGUGAAUAGCCUCUAGUCGAUAGAAUAAUGUAGGUAAGGGAAGUCGGCAAAUUA